rnacentral:rRNA from 1 species
GACGAACGCUGGCGGCGUGCUUAACACAUGCAAGUCGAGCGGUAAGGCCCUUUCGGGGGUACGACGAGCGGCGAACGGGUGAGUAACACGUGGGUGACCUGCCUUUAGCUCUGGGAUAAGCCUGGGAAACCGGGUCUAAUACCGGAUAUGACUCCGCGGCGCAUGUUGUGGGGUGGAAAGCCUUGUGCGGCUGGAGAUGGGCCCGCGGCCUAUCAGCUUGUGGUGGGUGAUGGCCUACCAGGCGACGACGGGUAGCCGGCCUGAGAGGGCGACCGGCCACACUGGGACUGAGAC